GCCGCCGUAGCGUAUCCUGGUUAAGCCUGAAACUCCAGAGAGCGCACCGGCCUGUGGAGCCGGCGGACGGGGUUCAAAUCCCCGCGGCGGCC
rnacentral:tRNA from 1 species